ensembl:antisense Rapgef4os2 Rap guanine nucleotide exchange factor (GEF) 4, opposite strand 2
AACACUAGGUUAAGAGCUGGAUACGGAUCCACUCUGUAGAGCACAGAGAACAGGGCAGAAAGCAACAAUUCCAAACAGAACCGGUGCUGGUGGGCAAGUAGCUUAUGGAAUCAGCUGAGGAUGGUUCCAGCCCGGGGCAGGUCUUCAGUAGGUGAAGCCCUUACAUUCCUGGUCUCAGGACAACGUCUCAGAGUUCAUCUUGACGAUGAUCAGGCCUUCCCCAGAGCCGAGUUUGUCGGCUACUGCGCUGAUGACUUCCUUCACCGAGGCAGCUACGGGCACACGAAUGGUCGUAUAGGUGUGGUCAAUGCAGUAGACCUUGAACAAAACUGCAGAGACGGUUGACAAUGUGAGAAAGUGGUCUUGGCCAUUCAAAGAAAAACAUAAGCCAUGCACAGUACUUAGACAUCUGUGGUCAUUGCCUGGGCAGACUCCCUGCUCUGCUGGGGUGGGAAGAGGACUUGGUGCUGGGCAUCCAACCAAGCCCCGAGAGUUCCCACAUCCUUUUAAGAGAUGCUGACAGUUGGGGAGAGGCAGUGCCAUUGAGGUUUGGGCAAGCAUCUCAGCUCUGUCUGGGUAUCAGACCCCAAGAACAUAACUUAUCAGUAGACCAAGGAGCAUACCCAAGGGCAGUGCUUUGGUAGGUUCAAUGCAAUGGUUUCCAGGGGGCAGAAUUUAGCCCAACCAGAAAUAUUCCACGGGAGAGAUUGGAGAGGUUGCUCACCCUCAUCAGAGCCACGAAUAGGCUGACGCUUCUGGGCCCUCUCGUCACCUGUGUUGAACUGCUGCAAAAGCACCUUGUGCUGUAAAAAUAAUAAGCACAUGUGUGUAACAGAGAGUGACUAACAAACCAUGACAACUUGGAGAAGAUGCAUCCGAGAAGCAAUUAGAGCCCCCAGAAUGAAGCAAAUAGAUUUUGUGUGCACAAAGGAGACAUGGAUUCGGUACACUGUAAUCCAGGGCCUCCGGAUAAUCUCCAUGCUAAGGGUGCGGACAAUGCUGGUCUCUGAAGAGCCCUCACCUUCUUCUGUGGAGCUUUUGCGUCUUCCGAGCUACAAGAAGUAGAGAAAGCGCACUGUUGAAAGCCGUUGCUGUGUUCUUUCGGAUUGCUUUUUAUUUAUGUGUCACUUUAAUCCUACGUUAGUCAUCGAGAUUGCACAGUCUCUCUGGACAGCAAUGGGCGACUCCCUCAUUUUAACAGUAAGAGGCCAAAACACAGGGAAGCAGCGAAGCCACCAGCUCUUGUCACAGGCAGAUCCGGAGCAGACCUGAGGUUAAACGCUCUGGCUCCUGGCUUUCAAAGUCAAUCUCAUAAUAUACUCACUCUCCAGUACUUAAUUUAAUAGUCCAUUAAUGGGAAACCCCCAAAUUCAGUUCAAGGACAGGAAUAUUUGCAAUGGACAGCUUUAGCAGCAGUGAAUGAAUUUCCCAUAUAGGUAACUGUCUUCAGAUGUACUCAAACACCAUAGGCUAUUUUACUGCUGGGUUGUCUAAGAGACUCAUGCCUCUAGACCUGGGCUUGUCAAAGGCCUCUCGAUACCUCUCUAUAGCCUGCUAUGGCAUCCAGGUCCUUCUGUUCAUCUCGUCUCAUUGCUACCUGUGCCUGGGGCCCGUGACACAGAUCAGAACAGAUGGCUAAUGGCAGGCCGGUGCUAGCCAUUUUUGCAGGCAAGGACUUCUUCGGAAGGUGUUCUAAUCAUAAGGUAGGCACUUGCGUGAUGAAAGUCCCCCCUAAAGCAAAACCCCUGCUUACAUUUGCUUGACAAUCUUCUCCAGCUCUGGCAGCUGUUCCUUGAAGGCAGCCAUCAUCCGUGCAUCAUCCGAUACAGACACAUAGAACUCCUGUAAUCGGCAAAGGUCACAGCAUCUUAAGAACCGAAAGGUGCACAGCUCUCUAGACAGCAACAGAGUCAUGAGACUAUGCCAUGCAUGCUGCUGGCAGCCCCAGACCAUAGUUUCUCGGGAAGAAGGAGGUGGAAGGGGAGGAAAUGGGAGGGAGGUCCUGGAACUAGAUAGGGGUGGUGAAAUGACUGUGUGAAUUGUGUGUUUAAAAAUGGCUGAAUAGUAAGUAUUACGUUCUUCACAUUUUGCCACAGCAAAAUUAAAACAAUAAACUACA